rnacentral:rRNA from 1 species
GUCUUUUUGAUUAUAAUUUAAAGUCUGUCCUGCCCAAUGAUUUUAUAAUUUAAUGGCCGCAGUAUUCUGACUGUGCUAAGGUAGCAUAAUAAUUAGUCUUUUAAUUUAAGACUGGAAUGAAAGGUUUGAUGAGAAAAUAUCUGUCUCUAUUCAAUUUUUGUUGAAUUUUAUUUUUAAGUAAAAAAGCUUAAAUUUUUUUAAAAGACGAUAAGACCCUAUAGAGUUUUAUUAAUUUUAAUUAAUUUGUAUUUGGUAAAAAUUUUAUUUUUUAAUUAGUUUUAAUUUGAUUGGGGUGAUUAGAAAAUAUAAAUAACUUUUUUUAAUUAGGAACAUUGAUAAAUGAUUUUUUGAUCCAUUAUUAGUGAUUAUAAGAUUAAAUUACCUUAGGGAUAACAGCGUAAUUUUUUUUGAGAGUUCAUAUCGAAGAAAAGUGUUGCGACCUCGAUGUUGGAUUAAAAUUUAAUAUUGGUGUAGAGGCUAAUAAUUUGGGUCUGUUCGACCUUUGAAAUUUUACA